GAUCCUGGCUUAGGAUGAACGCUAGCUACAGGCUUAACACAUGCAAGUCGAGGGGCAGCAUUGGGAUAGCUUGCUAUCCAGAUGGCGACCGGCGCACGGGUGGGUAACGCGUAUCCAACCUUCCCUAUAGUAGAGAAUAGCCCGGCGAAAGUCGGAUUAAUGCUCUAUGUUGUGUUUUGAGGACAUCUGACGAACACCAAAGGUUCACCGCUAUAGGAUGGGGAUGCGUCUGAUUAGCUUGUUGGCGGGUAACGGCCCACCAAGGCGACGAUCAGUAGGGGUUCUGAGAGGAAGGUCCCCCACAUUGGUACUGAGACACGGACCAAACUCCUACGGGAGGCAGCAGUGAGGAAUAUUGGUCAAUGGGCGAGAGCCUGAACCAGCCAAGUAGCGUGCAAGGAUGACUGCCCUAUGGGUUGUAAACUGCUUUUAUCAGGGAAUAAAGUGCGGCACGUGUGCCGUUUUGUAUGUACCUGAUGAAUAAGGACCGGCUAAUUCCGUGCCAGCCGCCGC
rnacentral:rRNA from 1 species